rnacentral:rRNA from 1 species
AAUACGUAGGGUGCGAGCGUUGUCCGGAAUUAUUGGGCGUAAAGGGCUCGUAGGCGGUUUGUCGCGUCGGGAGUGAAAACACUGGGCUUAACCCAGUGCUUGCUUUCGAUACGGGCAGACUAGAGGUAUGCAGGGGAGAACGGAAUUCCUGGUGUAGCGGUGAAAUGCGCAGAUAUCAGGAGGAACACCGGUGGCGAAGGCGGUUCUCUGGGCAUGUCCUGACGCUGAGGAGCGAAAGUGUGGGGAGCGAACAGGA